rnacentral:tRNA from 1 species
GCCUAGGUGGCUCAGUCGGUUGGGCAUCUGACUUCGGCUCAGGUCAUGAUCUCGUGGUCUGUGGGUUCGAGCCCCACGUUGGGCU